rnacentral:piRNA from 1 species
UGAGCAUAUGGUGGGUUUAAUAAUUGUU